rnacentral:rRNA from 1 species
AUUGAACGCUGGCGGCAGGCCUAACACAUGCAAGUCGAGCGGAUGAGUGGAGCUUGCUCCCUGAUUCAGCGGCGGACGGGUGAGUAAUGCCUAGGAAUCUGCCUGGUAGUGGGGGACAACGUUUCGAAAGGAACGCUAAUACCGCAUACGUCCUACGGGAGAAAGUGGGGGAUCUUCGGGCCUCACGCUAUCAGAUGAGCCUAGGUCGGAUUAGCUAGUUGGUGAGGUAAAGGCUCACCAAGGCGACGAUCCGUAACUGGUCUGAGAGGAUGAUCAGUCACACUGGAACUGAGACACGGUCCAGACUCCUACGGGAGGCAGCAGUGGGGAAUAUUGGACAAUGGGCGAAAGCCUGAUCCAGCCAUGCCGCGUGUGUGAAGAAGGUCUUCGGAUUGUAAAGCACUUUAAGUUGGGAGGAAGGGCAGUAAGUUAAUACCUUGCUGUUUUGACGUUACCAACAGAAUAAGCACCGGCUAACUUCGUG